rnacentral:rRNA from 1 species
UGCGCGAAAGCGCACGUGGUAGGGGAGCGUUCUGUAGGCUGAUGAAGGUGCAUUGAGAAGUGUGCUGGAGGUAUCAGAAGUGCGAAUGCUGACAUGAGUAACGAUAAUGUGGGUGAAAAGCCCACACGCCGGAAGUCCCAGGUUUCCUGCACGACGUUAAUCGGAGCAGGGUGAGUCGGCCCCUAAGGCGAGGCUGAAGAGCGUAGUCGAUGGGAACCAGGUUAAUAUUCCUGGACUUUUUAUAAGUGGUGAAGUGGGGACGAAGAAGGCUAGGUGAGCCAGGCGUUGGUUGUCCUGGUACUUGCAUGUAGGGGGGAAGACUUGGCAAAUCCGGUUUUCCAUAACUCUGAGGUGCGAAGUGGUUCUGACCUUUUGGUACAGAGAAGUCAUUGAUGCCCGGCUUCCAGGAAAAGCUGCUAGCCAUAACUUAUAGAGAACCGUACCGCAAACCGACACAGGUGGACAGGUAGAGAAUACUAAGGCGCUUGAGAGAACUCGGGUGAAGGAACUAGGCAAAAUGGUACCGUAACUUCGGGAGAAGGUACGCCCUUUUGGGUGAGGGCAUUUACUGUCUGAGCUUAAGAGGGCCGCAGAGACCAGGUGGCUGCGACUGUUUAUUAAAAACACAGCACUCUGCAAAUUCGUAAGAAGACGUAUAGGGUGUGACGCCUGCCCGGUGCCGGAAGGUUAAUUGAUGGGGUUAUCUUCGGAGAAGCUCUUGAUCGAAGCCCCGGUAAACGGCGGCCGUAACUAUAACGGUCCUAAGGUAGCGAAAUUCCUUGUCGGGUAAGUUCCGACCUGCACGAAUGGCGUAACGAUGGCCACACUGUCUCCACCCGAGACUCAGUGAAAUUGAAAUCGCUGUGAAGAUGCAGUGUACCCGCGGCUAGACGGAAAGACCCCGUGAACCUUUACUAUAGUUUUGCACUGGACUUUGAUGAUGACUGUGUAGGAUAGGUGGGAGGCUGUGAAGUGAGGACGCUAGUUCUCAUGGAGCCGCCCUUGAAAUACCACCCUGUUGUUAUUGAGGUUCUAACUUGGUCCAGUAAUCCUGGAUGAGGACAGUGUAUGAUGGGUAGUUUGACUGGGGCGGUCUCCUCCCAAAGAGUAACGGAGGAGCACAAAGGUACCCUCGGUACGGUCGGACAUCGUACCAAGAGUGUAAAGGCAAAAGGGUGCUUGACUGCGAGAGUGACGGCUCGAGCAGGAACGAAAGUUGGUCUUAGUGAUCCGGUGGUUCUGAAUGGAAGGGCCAUCGCUCAACGGAUAAAAGGUACUCCGGGGAUAACAGGCUGAUACCGCCCAAGAGUUCAUAUCGACGGCGGUGUUUGGCACCUCGAUGUCGGCUCAUCACAUCCUGGGGCUGAAGCAGGUCCCAAGGGUAUGGCUGUUCGCCAUUUAAAGUGGUACGCGAGCUGGGUUUAGAACGUCGUGAGACAGUUCGGUCCCUAUCUGCCGUGGGCGUAGGAAAAUUGAGAGGAGCUGCUCCUAGUACGAGAGGACCGGAGUGGACGAACCUCUGGUGCACCGGUUGUCACGCCAGUGGCAUGGCCGGGUAGCUAAGUUCGGACGGGAUAACCGCUGAAAGCAUCUAAGCGGGAAGCCUCCCUCAAGAUGAGUUUUCCCAUGAAGCCCGUUGAAGACUACGACGUUGAUAGGCAAGGUGUGGAAGCGCAGUAAUGCGUGAAGCUAACUUGUACUAAUUGGCUGAUUGUCUUGACCAUAUAAUCUGAG